GUAUCGUCUCUGGUGGAGGCGGAGGCGAGGAAGGAUCUUCGCGAAUCGCGACGAAGGAAGCUGCCAAGGAGCAAGGCGAUGGUUGGGUGCGAGUCAGGGCAGAUUGCAGAGGCAAGAUAUGGUGAUGGUGAUGGUGAUGGUGAUGGCGAUUGGUCCGGAGGCGAGACGGAAGGAAGGAAUAGGGAGCAGGGCCUGUCGUAAUCACAGGGGAAUGUGUCAGGGCUGUCAGCAUGACAUUGAGUAAGAAAACAAGAACUCCAUUCUCAUUUCUCAGAGGUUCUACUAACUAUAGAGGAUGAAGACCUUCAAAUCUUGAUUUUCUCGGCUUGUAGCUUUUCUUCAAUCUUCAUCUUCAGAUGAGUAGAAAUCAAUGAUUGGAUUGUAAUCUGUUGAAUCAGUUUUUUUGCCUCCUAAUACGAAUUGUGCGGUUUGUUCAUUGUAAAACCUUUUGCCUAGACAAUGUUUCAAGAUGUGAGAACUCCCAGCAGAGAGUGCAUGUGGAAUACUUCAUUAUCUUGGGUACACAAAUGCCAUUUUUCCAUCAAAAUUUGCUCCUGGCUUCCGGUGUUCUUGUGCUACUACAUUGUUUCCAGCAUACUAUCGCCUAUUGUGUUCCCCUAUUGCCUGGACACAGGGACGAUACGAAAAAUUUGUUGAACAGAUAAUUGGGAGUUUGUACAGGCAGGACUGGGCUACGUCUAGGUUAGAUUUCUCUUCUUUUCCUUUCUCUGAUCCUAGUCAGAGUUCAGAAAAAAAAAAUUCUUCUUCUUUCAUUCACGCGUAACAGUUUCUCAAAUCCUAUAAAUGUAUUGAUCAGAUUUAACAGUUAAUUGAAUAGUUUAUGGUUUCGAUUAUUAGAGAAUGGGGCUUUUUUGUGUGGUUGAAGACAACCUUAGUUGAUUAUGGUGAACAAUUUAAUGGUCUCAGUUGCUUUAUCUCUAAUCUCAGGUCAGAUCUUUCCUGCGGUUGCUAAUCUGGUUUCGUGCUAAAUUAUCCUUUCUGUGUUUCUUCCAACCAAGCAUUGUUCCCUUUCUUCCCUGGUUGGAGGAAAUAUUCAAAGGAAAACUAACUAUGGCAUUUCUUCAAUGUUAGAAGACUUCACAUCAUUAGAUGACCAUUUCAAUGGUUUGUUAUUUCUAUGAUUUUAUGUGCAUCAGAGAAACUUCAAGACUCGUAGCUGGGAAUUUUUUGUUGUCUGUUUGGAAUUGCCCGCCCAGGGGGACCAACUUAGAUAUGUUUGAUUUAGCUGGUCGAAGUAAAAGAAGAAACAAAAAGAAGGGGAGGGGAGCAUCCAGGGAUUCAUAGGCCCUGUGAGGUCAAACAAAAUGAAUGGAGUAGUGGGUUGGGACUUCUUAUGCUUAUUCAUAGCCCCUGUAAGGUCAAACAAAAUGAAUGGGGUAGUGGAUUGGGACUUCUUAUGCUUACUGUUUGUCAAAUAGAUUCUUGCUUUCUUUCUAGGUAUACAGAGUAGGGCAACUGGGCUCCCAACUCAAUGAGAAAAUUCUUUUAACCCAAAUGCAGGUGCUAUGUUUAAUCUCCUUGAGUUGUGCUAGUCUGAACCCAGGAAAAUCCAGCAGAUUGGAUUGAUCAUUCUGUAAUUAUCCAGGUUGGGUCAAGUAAGCUUCAGCUUAGUCUCAGUGUCUCCUGAACAGGGAGGGUCUAAUUAUGGAAUGGUAAUAUGCAAACCUGAACCUGGAGAAAGUGAGCUUGGUUCACAUAACAGGUCAAGAAUUAACACUUAAUGAUGUUUUAUACUUUUAUAAAGGGUUCCUGUAAUUUUUUAUUUUUUUUUUAUCUGCUGAGUGAAUGAUUCAGUAUCAGAAAUAGAGGGAGCUAAUUAAAAUAACUUCUGAAUCCUGAGAUACAUUGACUAUCCAAUCACAAACCCCAGGUUGUCUAUUUAAUGAUCAACAAGAUACACCUUGACUCAAAAUUUUUGUGUGUGCAAAAUGCCAAGGUCCAUGGCCUGGGCCAUCUUUCUGUCGCUUGUCAGUUGGCUUGGUUUUCUCCUUGACUAUUGGAUCAAAUAACCUUAAAAUUUUAGGGUUUAGAGACCGUGCGGUUUGAAAACAUGUUGGAUGAAUUUGUCGAUCUUCUGAACCAAUAUAAUCUUACCUCUUUCGGGAAGAGGGAAUUUUGCCAAUGUUAGGUCUUAGGAGCAUCUGUGAACUUAAGAAUGCUAUGGUUCCCCUCCCUAACAGGUGAGAUAAAGUAUCAAAAUUGCACAACUUAUUAAUUUAUUACAGCUUACUCUUAUGGCAUGGUUGAGUUUUCUGACGACUCAUUUUUUAAUAUCAAUUUCUGCACCAACCCCUACAUUCUGAAUUCUGGCAAGACUAGACUUUGAGCAAUAUUCAAUGAGGAAUCCAGCUCUUGAAUAUCCAUGUAUAUUCAGGUCCAGUUGGUAUAUGGUAUUCUGUAAGGAUUUAGAGCUCAAACCAUUGCUCCCUUAUGUGGACAAGUAGGUUUAGUCACUAGGCAUUGAGCGACAGCAAUAUGCUGUUACAUUCUGUACUCAUGCAAUGGAUUCUGAGGGUUAAGAGGUAUCCUUGGAUGCUGUAGACAAACAAAAGGCUCAAAUCCUCGCUUCCUCUGUGCAAUCCACCCCAAUGGUUGCCUAUUUCAGCUGAUUAUUUUAACUGAUAAUCUCCUUUUAAUCUCUUCCCCCAUCCCCUUUAUGUUAAUUAGCAUGCUUGAAUACUUGUUGAGUUUUAAAUGCAAAUGCUUAAACAUGGCUGCUUAUUUUGGUCUUGCGGUGUACUAAGGUCCCAGUUGCUCCCUGAAAAUGCAUCCUCCUUUGACAUUACACAGGCACCCAAUGUGUGCUGAAAUUAUUGAACUGUUCCAAAAGUGUCAUGUUGACCAUCCUGUUGGAAAAUUCUUUGGAGAGUGUACAGACCUGAAAAUUAAGCUGACCAUCCUGUUGGAAAAUUCUUUGGAGAGUGUACAGACCUGAAAAUUAAGCUCGACCGUUGUUUCAGGGAA